UACGUAGGUGCGAAGCGUUAGUCCGGAAUUAUUGGGCGUAAAGAGCUUGUAGGCGGUUUGUCGCGUCUGCUGUAGAAAUUUCGGGGCUCAACCCCGAACUUGCAGUGGGUACGGGCAGACUAGAGUGUGGUAGGGGGAGACUGGAAUUCCUGGUGUAGCGGUGAAAAUGCGCAGAUAUCAGGAGGAACACCUAUGGCGAAGGCAGCUCGCUGGGACGUAACUGACGCUGAGACGCGAAAGCGUGGGGGAGCAAACAGG
rnacentral:rRNA from 1 species